UGGUUCCUCAUUGCACUUGAAUCGGAGAUGGAAGUCGUUGUUCGUCCCCCGAGAAUUAGGAAUAAAGAAUUAGGAAUUAAGCGCGUACUUAAUUCUUAAUUCCUAAUUCUUAAUUCUUCUCAAGGACUAGAAUAACUUCCACCGAGUGCAGCGAGGAACCAGGUAAAGAUUCAUCGGUUCGGGAGGGGCCUGCGGCCUAUCAGAUAGUUGGUGAGGUAACGGCUCACCAAGUCUAUGACGGGUAGCUGAUUUGAGAGAAUGAUCAGCCAGAAUGGAACUGCGACACGGUCCAUACUCCUACGGGAGGCAGCAGUGAGGAAUCUUCCGCAAUGGGGGAAAGCCUGACGGAGCGACACCGCGUGGAGGAUGAAGGGAUCUUUUCUCGUAAACUCC
rnacentral:rRNA from 1 species